UAGGGAAUCUUGCGCAAUGGGCGAAAGCCUGACGCAGCCAUGCCGCGUGAAUGAUGAAGGUCUUAGGAUUGUAAAAUUCUUUCAGCGGGGACGAUAAUGACGGUACCCGCAGAAGAAGCCCCGGCUAACUUCGUGCCAGCAGCCGCGGUAAUACGAAGGGGGCUAGCGUUGCUCGGAAUUACUGGGCGUAAAGGGCGCGUAGGCGGACAGUUUAGUCAGAGGUCAAAGCCCAGGGCUCAACCUUGGAAUCGCCUUUGAUACUGGCUGUCUUGAGUGCGGGAGAGGUGUGUGGAACUCCGAGUGUAGAGGUGAAAUUCGUAGAUAUUCGGAAGAACACCAGUGGCGAAGGCGACACACUGGCCCGUUACUGACGCUGAGGCGCGAAAGCGUGGGGAGCAAACA
rnacentral:rRNA from 1 species